rfam:Rachicladosporium sp. CCFEE 5018 unplaced genomic scaffold Supercontig_61, whole genome shotgun sequence.
AAUGCCUAUAUGAUGAAGAAUUACUUGGAUAAAUUGUCUUUCCGAGAGCGCAAAAAUUAUGCGGAUUGUUUCCUUGUUGCCUUCCUUCUGAUCUGGCCU